UACGGGGGGGACAAGCGUUGUUCGGAUUUAUUGGGCGUAAAGGGCGCGUUGGUGGGCCUGCAAGUCGGCUGUGAAAUCCCCGGGCUUAACCCGGGGCCUGCACUCGAUACUGCCGGUCUUGAGUACGGGAGAGGAGAAUGGAAUUCCAGGUGUAGCGGUGAAAUGCGUAGAUAUCUGGAAGAACACCAGUAGCGAAGGCGGUUCUCUGGCCCGAGACUGACACUGAAGCGAGAAGGCUUGGGUAGCAAACAGG
rnacentral:rRNA from 1 species